UGAACGCUGGCGGCAUGCUUUACACAUGCAAGUCGGACGGCAGCACAGAGAAGCUUGCUUCUUGGGUGGCGAGUGGCGAACGGGUGAGUAACAUAUCGGAACGUACCGAGCAGUGGGGGAUAACUAAUCGAAAGAUUAGCUAAUACCGCAUAUCUUCUGAGGAAGAAAGCAGGGGACCAUUUGGCCUUGCGCUGUUUGAGCGGCCGAUAUCUGAUUAGCUAGUUGGUGGGGUAAAGGCCUACCAAGGCGACGAUCAGUAGCGGGUCUGAGAGGAUGAUCCGCCACACUGGGACUGAGACACGGCCCAGACUCCUACGGGAGGCAGCAGUGGGGAAUUUUGGACAAUGGGCGCAAGCCUGAUCCAGCCAUGCCGCGUGUCUGAAGAAGGCCUUCGGGUUGUAAAGGACUUUUGUCAGGGAAGAAAAGGGCGGGGUUAAUACCC
rnacentral:rRNA from 1 species